rnacentral:pre_miRNA from 1 species
UGUUCUAGCUAAGUCCAGGCUUUGUAAGUUCGCACGGAAGUCCGGACUUAGCGAAAACGCA